rnacentral:rRNA from 1 species
AGCUUGCUCCCCGCUGACGAGCGGCGGACGGGUGAGUAAUGCAUAGGAAACUGCCCAGUAGUGGGGGAUAGCCCGGGGAAACCCGGAUUAAUACCGCAUACGCCCUUCGGGGGAAAGCAGGGGAUCUUCGGACCUUGCGCUAUUGGAUGUGCCUAUGUCGGAUUAGCUAGUUGGUGGGGUAAGAGCCUACCAAGGCGACGAUCCGUAGCUGGUCUGAGAGGAUGAUCAGCCACAUCGGGACUGAGACACGGCCCGAACUCCUACGGGAGGCAGCAGUGGGGAAUAUUGGACAAUGGGGGCAACCCUGAUCCAGCCAUGCCGCGUGUGUGAAGAAGGCUUUCGGGUUGUAAAGCACUUUCAGUGAGGAGGAAAACCUUACGACUAAUACUCGUGAGGCUUGACGUUACUCA